rnacentral:tRNA from 1 species
GGAGGAUUUAGCUUAAUUAAAGUAUCUGAUUUGCGUUCAGAUGAUGCAAGAUAGAGGCUUGUAAUUCUUA